GCCUCUAGGAAGCCAACAGCUUCUGACUCAGAAUUUCCUGAGCUCUUGGCACAAAAUGCUGCUUUGUCAGCACUUCAUCUUAAGUUUCCUUUUCCUCUGCUGCCCCUCCACCCCUAUUCCCACAGACAGAGGAUGAGCACAAGAAUGAGAGGCCUUCAGCCUCCUGCCCUGAGAUGGCCACGGGUGCUCAGCACUUACGUUAAACUGUCCUGAUGAGACAAGAUGUAACUUAGUUUGAAGAGAGCUAUAACAAUACAGCUUACUGGAGUAUCUAAAGAAGUGCAUUAUCUCCAACUCAGGUGAACUGCUUUCUGCUUUAUCGCUGGUGAAGAAGGGAGGGUGGUUGCUGAUGCUCUGAACAAAGCUGUGUCCCUCUAAGUUUGCAUUGUACAGAAGUAGCCAGCACACAGUGUGCUGUGGAGGCUGAUCAUGGUCCUGCCCUCCAGGUCAUCUACAAGGAAAGGCAGUGAGCUCCUGUGCAGCAGGAUGUUGGGUAGAAACACGCAGCAGAUUUGGCACAUGGUCAGAGAAGGGCCUUACAUUCCAUUCUUAGCAACAAGGAGGAGGAGGAGGAGGAGGAAGACAGGAAACCUUGGCUGCAGUGCAUGACACUCUUCCCUGGGGCUACGGAUAUACACAAUUCUCAUGAUGUUUUUGUAAAUAACACAGCCUCAACUUUGCCCUGUUUUGCCUGCUGGUGACAAUUUGCUAGAAGCCUGAACAGUUUUCCAUAUUUUGCAUUCCAGCAUCCCAACAUUCUAGGAAUGAUGGGCUGAGCAACAGCAUGCCUGCAGGAAGAGCGAGGGUGUCUGUACUUGCCCAACUCACCACAGGAUAUUCUGGCAUUCCUGCUAAAAAACCCACAGCUUUACAGCUGAGAAGAAACAAGAAGCAACUCAAAAGCAGCACAUAUCUGAACUUCCAACAACUCCCAAGGUGCAAACUUUCAUCUAUUAAUUCAGUAAAGCCUAAUUCCACAGUUUUACCUUUUCCAUUCAUCCUGACACUAAGCUCUGCUCUGGGAUCAAUCUCUCGCCCCCCAGACAGUGUUCAUAAAGCUAUUCAUGUUCCUCUUGGUUUUACCUAGCUCUUCUUUAUAUAAAACUAGCAGUUACACCUCUACAACCCCCUUCCUCUGUGUGGAGCUACCCAGAACUCUCUCUUCAGUUUUUGUCAGACUUCAUUCUUUUCACAUAGAGAUGAGGUAAUUUUGAGUAUUUUAACACACUGAAAAUAACUCUGAAAUAUUUCUGUAUCCUGUCUCCACAUGUAAAAAGCUGUGGACAACCUGAAACUUUUGUAGAACAUCUCACAACCUCUAAUUUUGCUGUACUUGUCCUUUACUGAGUCACCUCUAAGGAGUGGAACCUUCAAGUGUGAUCUGGGGCUUUACAUGCUUUAUUGUUGCUUUUAGGCUGGAGUUUUGGGCUUUGUUGGUUUGCUUGUGCAGGUGUUUUUGAGAGUACCUGCCUUAUGAAAGUCUUACAGGGACAGAUUAAUGCAUGUCAUGGAAUUAAUUAGCUCUCCUUCAUUUUCAAGACACAACACGUCCAACACUAUUGCACUGUGGGUGGAUCAAACUGUCAACUUUAUUUUUAUUCACAGGCAAUUCCUGUACGCCAUGACUUCCCACAGGUUUGUGAGUAUACACAAUUAAUUACAGCAUACUGAUGCUAAAUUUACAGGAUUAAAUAUUUCUGUUUUUCUUUGGGAAACAGUGCUUUCUACUCACAAAGAUUUUUACUGUUAACUGUGCUGUCCACAUCAAACAGCUCCCAUAUGCAACUAAUUUCUUUAAACUGUUAAGGAGUUAAAACUUAAAGAACAAGCUUUGGUUUCUUAACUGUUCAACCAAUCUGCAAAUUAGUCACUGUAAUGGCAUUCAUUAACUUUUUAAAAAAAAGUUAAGAGUUAGCAAGAGUAUUAAAAGAACCCCCAGAAUUAAUGACUCAAUGUUUAGAUUUAGGAUGGAUUUUGCAAUCACAUAGGUGGCUUGUAGUGUUGAUCCAGAGAUUCCUAAGAGCAUUGUGCUUUGAAAAAAAUUAUCCGUCUUGAAAGCUCCAGGUGGUGUGCCAAAAUGCCUCUCUCAAAGCAGCAGGCUGUCAGCAGGUGGGGGUGCAGGGAAGAGCACUGGCAAGUGCUGCACUGCUCAUGGUCUGGUGCCUCAGCUCCCAGCACAGUUCCAGUACAGUGUCUGACUCUCUCCAGGUUGCAUGCACAUAAAGUCUGGAUUAUGACAGCUAUGAAAAGUCAUCACUUGUAGUAAGGGUUACUUUCAGGACUGCUGAUUCCAUCAAUACCCAAGGCACACCCGAUUCAUGGCCAGGCAUAUUCUGCAACAGAGAAAAAUAAUGAUGAAUAACUUUUCAGGUGUGCCUACGACUGUGCUAGUUUUUGUGGCCAGUUUAUCAGGUUAUAUCCAAUGAGUGACUUACCACAGGGAAAGAAGGCACCACCAACACCAAUACUGACUUCCAUUCUGCAGGAGCUAUUUGAUUUGGGAUGUUUCAGUUCUACAGAGACAUGAGUUGCUCUAACACCAAAGAUUAAGUCUUCCCCACAAGAAUCCCUAUGGAUGCAGAUGAGGAAUUUCCUGUCAAUAAAAGCUGUGAGACUGACAUUUGCAUUUGCUUGCCUUUUGGCUAGAUAAUCACUAGUGAAUGUGCCUUGUGGAACAGAUCACUGAAUUUUAAAGGAAGAAUAAACCAUCAGCUAGAGGUUACCAGUCUGAACUUGACUUUCAGGGAUUUUCCUUCUGCCAUUUCUUAGGACAGAAGUUAAUCUGGCCUGAUGAGCAAUUAUUUUUUCUUUUCUUACCUCCAGGUAUGCUUUCAUCUCUGCAGCAAUCUUCUUAGCCUCAGAAAUGUCAUUGGUAGCCAUCAGCUUUCGUUUCAUGAUUGCAAAGGGCACAUCAGGACUAGGUGUCAGGUCAUAGUUUUCCACAGGUGGCAGAGAAAUGGGCAUAGCUUUCUUCCCCAUGCCCUGAAACUGCAUUACCUUCAUGGAGGAGAUGCUCUGAAGGAUCAAAAGUAAGCAGAUGGAAAUUGUCAAUCACCCUCAAUAGGCAGUUUUGUCUUUGUCUGCCAUGCAAACCUAAAUCUCUAAACUUAUUUUAUUAGAGAAAAUAAGGGAGGCAACAGGGUUGUAGGUGUGUGUGUCUGUGUGUAUGCAUAUGUUGGGUUUUUAAUACAAAGGCUGCCAAAAACCAGGGAACUUUAAUUUCCAAAACUCACUGGGGGGAAAAGGCUACCAGGUUACAUAACCGCAUAUUUUUUUAAACAAGUAUUUAAUCUGUUGCAUAAUGGGACUAUUGUAAAUGCUGUAUCACCUCUUAGCUCUUCCCAUAUGAGGGAUCAUUGUAUUUUUUAACAUUUCACUAAUACUCAUAAUAUGCUGGGAAGUGAUAAAUACCUUUCUUUACUGAAGUGUCAAAUCACUGGCAGAGCUUGGAGGACAACUUGUACCCUGAUUUCUUGGAUUACAGCAUAUGCAAGGCUGAUUUCCUUUAGCAUCAGGAUCAUCAACUCUUAAAUGCUGAGGUCUUCUGAGAGUAAUAGCUCAUGACUAAAAAUUACUAAAUCAACUCUGCCAGUUUACAGCUGUUUUUUGUUUGAAUUAAGGCAUAAAGUAUAGGGUAAGAAAGGCUUGAAGAUAUAUUUGGGCAGGAAGCCCUGUCAAUACAUACUCUGUUUCCAUACUGCAUCACAUGGCUGGUGUUGGUGCGUUUCUUCACCAGCUGAAACUGCUUGUGGAGUGUUUCUUUUCUUAGAUCCUCCUGCAUGAAGAAAGUUCCAUGAGGUCUAAAAUAGUUAAACUUGGCUAUUCUAAAAAUGCAAAGGAAGCUGCAAAGGGUCUUAGCUGCCAGUGAGUAGAAGGAUGUACAGGACAAGAGCUAUACAACCUUUGAAAGACAUUGAAGUAAAAACUGAAGAGGAUUUGACAGCAUAUUCUCAUAUUGCUUUUAGUAAUCUCAUUUCCCAGCAAAUGGGCAAGAAGGGAGUGCACUAGCAUACAAAUCCCAGAUUUGUUUCAUUAACACUAUUCUCCAUUACACUAACAAGUGGGUUAGCCACAGCUCCGUAUUUAAG